UACAGAGGUCUCAAGCGUUGUUCGGAUUCAUUGGGCGUAAAGAGCGUGUAGGCGGCCAAACAGGUCCGUUGUGAAAACUGGAGGCUCAACCUCCAGACGUCGACGGAAACCGUGUGGCUAGAGUCCGGAAGAGGAGAGUGGAAUUCCUGGUGUAGCGGUGAAAUGCGCAGAUAUCAGGAAGAACACCAAUGGCGAAGGCAGCUCUCUGGGACGGUACUGACGCUGAGACGCGAAAGCGUGGGGAGCGAACAGG
rnacentral:rRNA from 1 species